ensembl:lncRNA novel transcript
GAGAGUCUGUGGCUCAGCCAUCGUGACUAUGUAACCAGUAUUGGUCGGUGGCCCAAGGUCUCUCUCCUUUCAGGGUUCAACCUCCAACCUUAUUUCUGCUUCCUUCAUGUUGGAAUUCACACUGUGAGAAUUGUUGUCAUCCUUUCUCUACGACUCCAAGAGAAACUUUAUACUGGAGGAAGAAUAUUCUACCACUUUGGGAUGCUUCCAAAGAAAUGGGAUACCAAAGGAGUGAACUUCAGGUCAUUGGAAGUGGCCAAGCUGGAGGGCGACCUAUGGAGACAUGACCUUCAGUUCUUCCUGAGAUCGAUAAAGCUUAAAAGAAAAGAAAAAGCCAACUCAGCUUGUGCGUGGAUCCUGGACCUUGCUCUAAUACAGACCCCGCUCCUGGAGUGGAAUAGGGAGACCAGAGGAGAGGGGAGAGAUAGGGGAAUUGCCGGUCAGUGGAACAGUCAGAACACAGACAACAUUUACUGACCUUCUCGAGGAUAUUGGAGAUAUUCUGCCCUGCCUGCCACCUCUCACCUCCUCUUUCCUGGAGCAGGAGGAGUGACUUACCUGUUUGCUGGGAAGGGGAGAAAUUAACACCCACUGCUCCACGUGGGAAAGAAGGAUGUAUUAAAUUAAAGGUCUCCAUUCUCAAA